GCCAGAGUGGUGUAGUGGUUUGAGCAUUGGACUGUGACUUUUGAGUUCACGGUUCAAAUCCUGUCUUGGCC